CCCCCCAACCUGCUAACGUUUCCUCCCCCCCCAACCUGCUAACGUUUCCUCCCCCCAACCUGCUAACGUUUCCUCCCCCCCCAACCUGCUAACGUUUCCUCCCCCCCCAACCUGCUAACGUUAACAGUAAGGUCUAUCUGCAUCAGACAGACAGACAGACAGAACUCACUACAGCCUCUCUUUACAUACUAAGAGAAUAGUUUGAAUGUUAACAUUAUGAAUAUAUAGAUUAUUAUGUGGAUAUUUGCAACAACAAACAAACAAAAAAUAUGUUUUUAAUUUUGAUUUUAUGAUGUGAGCCGUUCUGAAGGCUGUAUGUGUUUUAAAGUUGUAAAUAAUGACAUGUUCUGUUAUUAAUAAUAAUUUAAAAAUGUAAAUGAUCUUUCUUAGGGUUUUUUUUUUUUUCAUGAGAGCUUUAUCUGGGCCUGUCUUUAUGCCCGGGUGAUCCUGGCCUGUCUUUAUGUCCGGGUGAUCCUGGCCUGUCUUUAUGUCCGGGUGAUCCUGGCCUGUCUUUAUGUCCGGGUGGUCCUGGCCUGUCUUUAUGUCCGGGUGAUCCUGGCCUGUCUUUAUGCCCGGGUGAUCCUGGCCUGUCUUUAUGCCCGGGUGAUCCUGGCCUGUCUUUAUGCCCGGGUGAUCCUGGCCUGUCUUUAUGCCCGGGUGAUCCUGGCCUGUCUUUAUGCCCGGGUGUUCCUGGCCUGUCUUUAUGCCCGGGUGAUCCUGGCCUGUCUUUAUGCCCGGGUGAUCCUGGCCUGUCUUUAUGCCCGGGUGAUCCCGGGUGGGGUCGAUCGGUCAUCGAGGUGAUCGACCAACCCCAAAGUGCUGCAUGUUUAAUGACGACAGACACCCGUCUCGAUGGCUUGAACCCUGGUCACAAGACAGCAUUUAUCUUCCUGAGCUAAAGGCUGAGCCAAGGCAUUUAUCUCUAGGAGCUAAAACAAAGUCUUCAUGUUCACAAAAUCAACCUCCAUUACAUCAACCUCCCCAAAAAUACAACUUCUGGUCACAUGACUCCAGUCCUCUCUCUCUGACUCUCUCUCUCUCUCUCUGACUCUCUCUCUCUCUCUGACUGACUGUCUCUCUCGCUCGCUCUCUCUCUCUCUCUCUGACUCUCUCUCUGACUGACUCUCCCUCUGACUCUCUCUCUCCCUCUGACCCUCUCUCUGACCCUCUCUCUCUCUGACUCUCUCUCUCUCUGACUCUCUCUCUCUCUGACUCUCUCCUGACCCAAUCUGAGAGGACGGGUAGAGGAGGCUAGUUAAUAACACCAGGGGUUGUACCGCCCUGGGGGAGAAGUCGGCCCUAACCACAGCUCUAGGAUCAGCCCCCCCCUCCUCUUAAAGCAAAGGAGGGGAAACAUAUAACUGGUUCAAGGUCAGCGUCUGUCAGCCCCGCGUGUGUAAAUAUAACUGGAUGUUUUUCAACUCUGCUUUUAUCUUCCUGAGUCUCGAUCAUUCGCCUCGAGAACAGCCAUGGUCAAAACGGAGGGGGGCUGAAUAUUAAAUUAGAACAGCCAUGGUCAGAACAGAGGGAGGGGCUGAAUAUUAAAUUAGAACAGCCAUGGUCAAAACGGAGGGAGGAGGGGCUGAAUAUUAAAUUAGAACAGCCAUGGUCAGAACGGAGGGGGGCUGAAUAUUAAAUUAGAACAGCCAUGGUCAGAACGGAGGGAGGGGCUGAAUAUUAAAUUAGAACAGCCAUGGUCAGAACGGAGGGAGGGGCUGAAUAUUAAAUUAGAAGAGCCAUGGUCAGAACAGAGGGAGGGGGAUAGUAAAUUAUAGAACAGCCAUGGUCAGAACAGAGGGAGGGGCUGAAUAUUAAAUUAGAACAGCCAUGGUCAGAACAGAGGGAGGGGCUGAAUAUUAAAUUAGAAGAGCCAUGGUCAGAACGGAGGGAGGAGGGGCUGAAUAUUAAAUUAGAACAGCCAUGGUCAGAACGGAGGGGGGCUGAAUAUUAAAUUAGAACAGCCAUGGUCAGAACAGAGGGAGGGGGAUAUUAAAUUAGAACAGCCAUGGUCAGAACGGAGGGAGGGGCUGAAUAUUAAAUUAGAAGAGCCAUGGUCAGAACGGAGGGAGGAGGUGAAUAUUAAAUUAGAACAGCCAUGGUCAGAACGGAGGGAGGGACUGAAUAUUAAAUUAGAACAGCCAGGGUCAGAACGGAGGGAGGGACUGAAUAUUAAAUUAGAACAGCCAUGGUCAGAACGGAGGGAGGGACUGAAUAUUAAAUUAGAACAGCCAUGGUCAGAACGGAGGGAGGAGGUGAAUAUUAAAUUAGAACAGCCAUGGUCAGAACGGAGGGAGGGGCUGAAUAUUAAAUUAGAACAGCCAUGGUCAGAACAGAGGGAGGUGAAUAUUAAAUUAGAACAGCCAUGGUCAGAACGGAGGGAGGGGCUGAAUAUUAAAUUAGAACAGCCAUGGUCAGAACGGAGGGAGGGACUGAAUAUUAAAUUAGAAGAGCCAUGGUCAGAACGGAGGGAGGUGAAUAUUAAAUUAGAACAGCCAUGGUCAGAACGGAGGGAGGGGCUGAAUAUUAAAUUAGAACAGCCAUGGUCAGAACGGAGGGAGGGACUGAAUAUUAAAUUAGAAGAGCCAUGGUCAGAACGGAGGGAGGUGAAUAUUAAAUUAGAACAGCCAUGGUCAGAACGGAGGGAGGGGCUGAAUAUUAAAUUAGAACAGCCAUGGUCAGAACGGAGGGAGGGACCAUACUACUCUUCCUGUUCUGUUGUUUUUACUUUCGCCUGUGAGCAUCGACAGACCAGAGUGGUUUCUGGGCCCCGCUGCAAGAGAGUGUGUGUGUGUUGUAUAUACUCUGCUGUGUGGGUGUGUGUGUGUGUGUGUUGUAUAUCUACUCGUGUGUUGACAGUAUGAAACGUGGUGGUCUGUGGGAAUGUGGCGGUCUGUGGGAAUGUGGCGGUCUGUGGGAAUGUGGCGUGUUUGCAGUGAUGCAUCUAUGGACAUCCUCUCAGAAUAAAUAAAUGUUCUAUACAAACUGUUCCCCUCGACUCUUUUACUACUGUCUGUCUGUCUGUCUGCCUGUCUGCCUGUCUGUGUACAGUUGAAGUCUGUAAACAUCCACUUAGGUUGGAGUCAUUAAAACUUGUUUUUCAGCCAUUCCACAAAUUUCUUGUUAACAAACUAUAGUUUUGGCAAGUCGGUUAGGACAUCUACUUUGUGCAUGACACAAGUCAUUUUUCCAACAAUUGUUUACAG
rnacentral:lncRNA from 1 species